rnacentral:rRNA from 1 species
UACGUAGGGGGCAAGCGUUGUCCGGAUUUAUUGGGCGUAAAGAGCGUGUAGGCGGCUUUACAGGUCCGUUGUGAAAACUCGAGGCUCAACCUCGAGACGCCGGUGGAAACCGUAAAGCUAGAGUCCGGAAGAGGAGAGUGGAAUUCCUGGUGUAGCGGUGAAAUGCGCAGAUAUCAGGAGGAACACCUAUUGCGAAGGCAGCUCGCUGGGACGUUACUGACGCUGAGACGCGAAAGCGUGGGGAGCAAACAGG